rnacentral:lncRNA from 1 species
GGGAUGGGGCUCUGAGCACUGAUGGAGCUGUGGGUGCCUCUGUUCAGUGCAGGGGGUGGGAACAGAUGUCUUUAAGGGCCCCUUCCAACUCAACCGAUUCUAUGAUUCUAAAUGUGGGUUGAUGGGGACAGAGGUGUUGCAGAGCAUCAUUCACAUUCCUGAGACCUCCAGAUGUCACAAUGGCUCUUAAGAGGCUCGGGUGGUUUGAAAUGCAGCACGGGUUGUCUUGUGUUUGAUCUCCUAAACCUGCCGGUAUCCAUCUCUGUCAGCAGCUGUCAAGAUGAGAGGGGACACGUUUUGAUGGGAGCCUGAUUAUUUGUGUUGCUGUGGAGGCAGGGAGGAAUCUCCAUUCCAUUAACUCCGGAUUAAGGCACAGCACAGAUGAGGAGAACAGGAGGCUCACAAUGGUAGGCAGCACGAAAACAGAGGCACAGUAAAGAAGCACAGUCAGCGUGCAAUGCGAGCAGAGGAUUUUGGCCCCCUCAAGGUGAUCCUGAUGGGAGGAACAGUCAGUCCUGAGUGUGACAGAAUCACGUGGCCAAGAGGGCCUGUGUGAAUUUGGUAGCAGAGAUAAG